UACGUAGGGUGCAAGCGUUAAUCGGAAUUACUGGGCGUAAAGCGUGCGCAGGCGGUGAUGUAAGACAGGUGUGAAAUCCCCGGGCUUAACCUGGGAAUUGCAUUUGUGACUGCACGGCUAGAAUCUGGCAGAGGGGGGUAGAAUUCCACGUGUAGCAGUGAAAUGCGUAGAGAUGUGGAGGAAUACCGAUGGCGAAGGCAGCCCCCUGGGCUAAGAUUGACGCUCAUGCACGAAAGCGUGGGGAGCAAACAGG
rnacentral:rRNA from 1 species